GGCGAUUAUUAAACGGCGUUUGGCAUCGGCAAUAAUUUAAAUAUUGAAUCUCCAUACAUCAGUAAUUUAUAGAAGCUUGUAUGGCAUGGCUGUUUUGUUAUUGCCAUUUAUAUAACUAUGUGCUUAGUUGCAGUGCUAAUGGUGCUUUAACUAAGUACGAUUUCUAAGUAAGAGAAAAUCUGUAAGCCGUCAAUAGAACUGGAUUUGAACACUUUUUCUGCCGCUUUUCUGCGCCGCAACAAACACAGCAAGUAGUAGCUUAAGAGUGACUCUGGGCUUCAAAUGCUUAAUCAUCGGCUAUUUUUGAGUAUUUGCAUAGCUUCCAUUACUUUGCUUCUCUUUAUCAAAAUGGAACAUUUAUGCCUUGAUGGAAUGGAACGUGUUAUGAGUAGUCAAUUUUACUUGAUUUUUAAAGUUGUGAAGUAGAUUAAGACGGAUGCAUCCAACCAUUUUAUAAUCUCGCAGUAAACAUGGAAAUAUUUCUUGGUCAGAAAAAUUUAUAAUAAAAAAUGUGGCAUGCGAA